UUUGCUACAAUUUGCAAGUAAUUUGUAAAAAUACACGUAAACUGAAAACCUCUUGGACUAUAUGGGUAAUGGCACACAACUUCUAUCCUAUGCCGAUUAUAUUUGCUAGAGUCUAAGCUAGGCUGGGAUUGGUUGUCAGUUGUUUUAAUAUUUUAAUGUGUGAAUGUAAGAGCUUAUCUGUCAUAAUGAUCCUGCUCUCUGUGUAGAAUAGAGUUAUUAAGUGCUGCCAUGGAAGGCUAGGUUGUCACUCCCACCACCUCCCACUUCUGAUCCCUCUCUACUUUUUUAUCAUCAUAAUAUCAUUUUUAAUAGUCUUAGAAUUAUAGAAAUAAUAAAUUAAAUAUAGCAAAUGAAUUCUUGUUAGCAGCUAAAGCACUAGAGAACCUAAGUUCCUGUUUAACAUUAAGUUUGACCUUUUGGCGUACUAUGGUAAUCUUAAAAUGGUCAUGCAAAACCAGUUAACAACUGUGAUGUGCAAUUACUUUAGUGGCAGUUGCUUCUUUCCUAAGUUCUGACUUCCAUACCAUUUUUAGGGUGAGAACAAAAAUAGCUACUGUAGGUUCACUUCCAGUCUAUAAACAAUUAGACGGAUACUAUAGUCUAGAUGCAUUGCCCCAGCAGCCUUAACCCUGCAAAGAUAAUUAUUGCAGUUUUUAACAAAACUACAAUAAUUACCUUGGAGGGUUCAAUCCACCUUUAGUGGCUGUCAACCAAUCAUCCACUAAAAUGACUUACAGGCAGUUAUCUAACUUUGACGCUAUGCAUGUGGGCAUCCAGUGUCACCCAAAACCCCAUAACAAAUGCAUUAUAAUGCUUUCUUAUGGGGAAAUCCUAAUGCGAGAACAACCAUUGCCAAGGGACAGAGACGCGGGACCCAGGUAAGUGACUUAAUACAUUUUUAACCCUUACUGCACCAUAGGGAGUAAGGAUGCGAGGGAGGGGGAAGCUAUAGUGCCAGGAAAAAAGUUUGCCUUUAAGAGCUUUAAAAAUCAAAAGAGUCAUAAAAGACAUGUAAGACUAUUAAUGUUUAGAUGUGUAAACAUUGUAAUUGUUCAUGUUUUAAACUGUGAGCCCUUGUAUG